GUCUCCGGCCAUACCACCGUGAACGCGCCCGAUCUCGUCUGAUCUCGGAAAGAUAAAGACAAGUCCUUAAGAAAUGCAAGCCCUCCCCCUGGAGGGCUUCAGCCU
rnacentral:rRNA from 1 species